GAUGAACGCUGGCGGCGUGCCUAAUACAUGCAAGUCGAGCGAACGGACGAGAAGCUUGCUUCUCUGAUGUUAGCGGCGGACGGGUGAGUAACACGUGGAUAACCUACCUAUAAGACUGGGAUAACUUCGGGAAACCGGCGCUAAUACCGGAUAAUAUUUUGAACCGCAUGGUUCAAAAGUGAAAGACGGUCUUGCUGUCACUUAUAGAUGGAUCCGCGCUGCAUUAGCUAGUUGGUAAGGUAACGGCUUACCAAGGCAACGAUGCAUAGCCGACCUGAGAGGGUGAUCGGCCACACUGGAACUGAGACAGGGUCCAGAGUCCUACGGGAGGCAGCAGUAGGGAAUCUGCCGCAAUGGGCGAAAGCCUGACGGAGCAACGCCGCGUGAGUGAUGAAGGUCUUCGGAUCGUAAAACUCUGUUAUUAGUGAAGAACAUAUGUGUAAGUAACUGUGCACAUCUUGACGGUACCUAAUCAGAAAGCCACGGCUAACUACGUG
rnacentral:rRNA from 1 species